rnacentral:rRNA from 1 species
ACAUCGCAUGAUGUASUCAGAAAAGGAGCAAUUCGCUAAUAGAUGGGCUUGCGUCUGAUUAGUUAGUUGGUGGGGUAACGGCCUACCAAGACGAUGAUCAGUAGCCGGACUGAGAGGUUAAACGGCCACAUUGGGACUGAGAUACGGCCCAGACUCCUACGGGAGGCAGCAGUCGGGAAUAUUGCGCAAUGGAGGAAACUCUGACGCAGUGACGCCGCGUGCAGGAAGAAGGUUUUCGGAUUGUAAACUGCUUUAGACAGGGACGAAACAAAUGACGGUACCUGUAGAAUAAGCUCCGGCUAACUACGUGCCAGCAGCCGCGGUAAUACGUAGGGAGCAAGCGUUAUCCGGAUUUAUUGGGUGUAAAGGGUGCGUAGACGGAUAAACAAGUUAGUUGUGAAAUACCUCGGCUUAACUGAGGAACUGCAACUAAAACUAUAUAUCUUGAGUACUGGAGGGGAAAGCGGAAUUCCUAGUGUAGCGGUGAAAUGCGUAGAUAUUAGGAAGAACACCGGUGGCGAAGGCGGCUUUCUGGACAGCAACUGACGUUGAGGCACGAAAGUGUGGGGAGCAAACAGGAUUAGAUACCCUGGUAGUCCACACCGUAAACGAUGGAUACUAGGUGUUGGCUGUGAUGAGCAGUCAGUGCCGUCGCAAACGCAGUAAGUAUCCCACCUGGGGAGUACGACCGCAAGGUUGAAACUCAAAGGAAUUGACGGGGGCCCGCACAAGCAGUGGAGUAUGCGGUUUAAUUCGACGCAACGCGAAGAACCUUACCAAGGCUUGACAUAUACAGGAAUAUUAUAGAAAUAUAAUAGCUCUUCGGAGUCUGUAUACAGGUGGUGCAUGGUUGUCGUCAGCUCGUGUCGUGAGAUGUUAGGUUAAGUCCUGCAACGAGCGCAACCCCUAUUUCCAGUUGCCAGCACGUAAUGGUGGGAACUCUGGAGAGACUGCCGGUAAUAAAUCGGAGGAAGGUGGGGAUGACGUCAAAUCAUCAUGCCCUUUAUGUCUUGGGCAACACACGUACUACAAUGGCCGUUACAAAGAGAAGCAACACAGUGAUGUGAAGCAAAACUUGAAAAAGCG